rnacentral:rRNA from 1 species
GACGAACGCUGGCGGCGUGCUUAACACAUGCAAGUCGAACGGAAAGGCCCUGCUUUUGUGGGGUGCUCGAGUGGCGAACGGGUGAGUAACACGUGAGUAACCUGCCCUUGACUUUGGGAUAACUUCAGGAAACUGGGGCUAAUACCGGAUAGGAGCUCCUGCUGCAUGGUGGGGGUUGGAAAGUUUCGGCGGUUGGGGAUGGACUCGCGGCUCAUCAGCUUGUUGGUGGGGUAGUGGCUUACCAAGGCUUUGACGGGUAGCCGGCCUGAGAGGGUGACCGGCCACAUUGGGACUGAGAUACGGCCCAGACUCCUACGGGAGGCAGCAGUGGGGAAUAUUGCACAAUGGGCGGAAGCCUGAUGCAGCAACGCCGCGUGCGGGAUGACGGCCUUCGGGUUGUAAACCGCUUUCGCCUGUGACGAAGCGUGAGUGACGGUAAUGGGUAAAGAAGCACCGGCUAACUACGU